rnacentral:rRNA from 1 species
GGUUAAGCGACUAAGCGUACACGGUGGAUGCCCUGGCAGUCAGAGGCGAUGAAGGACGUGCUAAUCUGCGAUAAGCGUCGGUAAGGUGAUAUGAACCGUUAUAACCGGCGAUUUCCGAAUGGGGAAACCCAGUGUGAUUCGUCACACUAUCAUUAACUGAAUCCAUAGGUUAAUGAGGCGAACCGGGGGAACUGAAACAUCUAAGUACCCCGAGGAAAAGAAAUCAACCGAGAUUCCCCCAGUAGCGGCGAGCGAACGGGGAGCAGCCCAGAGCCUGAAUCAGUGUGUGUGUUAGUGGAAGCGUCUGGAAAGGCGCGCGAUACAGGGUGACAGCCCCGUACACAAAAAUGCACAUACUGUGAGCUCGAUGAGUAGGGCGGGACACGUGGUAUCCUGUCUGAAUAUGGGGGGACCAUCCUCCAAGGCUAAAUACUCCUGACUGACCGAUAGUGAACCAGUACCGUGAGGGAAAGGCGAAAAGAACCCCGGCGAGGGGAGUGAAAAAGAACCUGAAACCGUGUACGUACAAGCAGUGGGAGCACGCUUAGGCGUGUGACUGCGUACCUUUUGUAUAAUGGGUCAGCGACUUAUAUUCUGUAGCAAGGUUAACCGAAUAGGGGAGCCGAAGGGAAACCGAGUCUUAACUGGGCGUUAAGUUGCAGGGUAUAGACCCGAAACCCGGUGAUCUAGCCAUGGGCAGGUUGAAGGUUGGGUAACACUAACUGGAGGACCGAACCGACUAAUGUUGAAAAAUUAGCGGAUGACUUGUGGCUGGGGGUGAAAGGCCAAUCAAACCGGGAGAUAGCUGGUUCUCCCCGAAAGCUAUUUAGGUAGCGCCUCGUGAAUUCAUCUCCGGGGGUAGAGCACUGUUUCGGCAAGGGGGUCAUCCCGACUUACCAACCCGAUGCAAACUGCGAAUACCGGAGAAUGUUAUCACGGGAGACACACGGCGGGUGCUAACGUCCGUCGUGAAGAGGGAAACAACCCAGACCGCCAGCUAAGGUCCCAAAGUCAUGGUUAAGUGGGAAACGAUGUGGGAAGGCCCAGACAGCCAGGAUGUUGGCUUAGAAGCAGCCAUCAUUUAAAGAAAGCGUAAUAGCUCACUGGUCGAGUCGGCCUGCGCGGAAGAUGUAACGGGGCUAAACCAUGCACCGAAGCUGCGGCAGCGACGCUUAUGCGUUGUUGGGUAGGGGAGCGUUCUGUAAGCCUGUGAAGGUGUACUGUGAGGUAUGCUGGAGGUAUCAGAAGUGCGAAUGCUGACAUAAGUAACGAUAAAGCGGGUGAAAAGCCCGCUCGCCGGAAGACCAAGGGUUCCUGUCCAACGUUAAUCGGGGCAGGGUGAGUCGACCCCUAAGGCGAGGCCGAAAGGCGUAGUCGAUGGGAAACAGGUUAAUAUUCCUGUACUUGGUGUUACUGCGAAGGGGGGACGGAGAAGGCUAUGUUGGCCGGGCGACGGUUGUCCCGGUUUAAGCGUGUAGGCUGGUUUUCCAGGCAAAUCCGGAAAAUCAAGGCUGAGGCGUGAUGACGAGGCACUACGGUGCUGAAGCAACAAAUGCCCUGCUUCCAGGAAAAGCCUCUAAGCAUCAGGUAACAUCAAAUCGUACCCCAAACCGACACAGGUGGUCAGGUAGAGAAUACCAAGGCGCUUGAGAGAACUCGGGUGAAGGAACUAGGCAAAAUGGUGCCGUAACUUCGGGAGAAGGCACGCUGAUAUGUAGGUGAAGUCCCUCGCGGAUGGAGCUGAAAUCAGUCGAAGAUACCAGCUGGCUGCAACUGUUUAUUAAAAACACAGCACUGUGCAAACACGAAAGUGGACGUAUACGGUGUGACGCCUGCCCGGUGCCGGAAGGUUAAUUGAUGGGGUCAGCGCAAGCGAAGCUCUUGAUCGAAGCCCCGGUAAACGGCGGCCGUAACUAUAACGGUCCUAAGGUAGCGAAAUUCCUUGUCGGGUAAGUUCCGACCUGCACGAAUGGCGUAAUGAUGGCCAGGCUGUCUCCACCCGAGACUCAGUGAAAUUGAACUCGCUGUGAAGAUGCAGUGUACCCGCGGCAAGACGGAAAGACCCCGUGAACCUUUACUAUAGCUUGACACUGAACAUUGAGCCUUGAUGUGUAGGAUAGGUGGGAGGCUUUGAAGUGUGGACGCCAGUCUGCAUGGAGCCGACCUUGAAAUACCACCCUUUAAUGUUUGAUGUUCUAACGUGGACCCGUAAUCCGGGUUGCGGACAGUGUCUGGUGGGUAGUUUGACUGGGGCGGUCUCCUCCUAAAGAGUAACGGAGGAGCACGAAGGUUGGCUAAUCCUGGUCGGACAUCAGGAGGUUAGUGCAAUGGCAUAAGCCAGCUUGACUGCGAGCGUGACGGCGCGAGCAGGUGCGAAAGCAGGUCAUAGUGAUCCGGUGGUUCUGAAUGGAAGGGCCAUCGCUCAACGGAUAAAAGGUACUCCGGGGAUAACAGGCUGAUACCGCCCAAGAGUUCAUAUCGACGGCGGUGUUUGGCACCUCGAUGUCGGCUCAUCACAUCCUGGGGCUGAAGUAGGUCCCAAGGGUAUGGCUGUUCGCCAUUUAAAGUGGUACGCGAGCUGGGUUUAGAACGUCGUGAGACAGUUCGGUCCCUAUCUGCCGUGGGCGCUGGAGAACUGAGGGGGGCUGCUCCUAGUACGAGAGGACCGGAGUGGACGCAUCACUGGUGUUCGGGUUGUCAUGCCAAUGGCACUGCCCGGUAGCUAAAUGCGGAAGAGAUAAGUGCUGAAAGCAUCUAAGCACGAAACUUGCCCCGAGAUGAGUUCUCCCUGACUCCUUGAGAGUCCUGAAGGAACGUUGAAGACGACGACGUUGAUAGGCCGGGUGUGUAAGCGCAGCGAUGCGUUGAGCUAACCGGUACUAAUGAACCGUGAGGCUUAACCUU